rnacentral:rRNA from 1 species
GAUGAACGCUAGCGGCAGGCUUAAUACAUGCAAGUCGAGGGGCAGCAUGAUUGUAGCAAUACAAUUGAUGGCGACCGGCAAACGGGUGCGGAACACGUACACAACCUUCCAAUAAGUGGGGAAUAGCCCAGAGAAAUUUGGAUUAAUACCCCGUAACAUAACGAUGUGGCAUCACAUUGUUAUUAUAGAUUUUUCGCUUAUUGAUGGGUGUGCGGCUGAUUAGAUAGUUGGCGGGGUAACGGCCCACCAAGUCUACGAUCAGUAGCUGAUGUGAGAGCAUGAUCAGCCACACGGGAACUGAGACACGGGCCCGACUCCUACGGGAGGCAGCAGUAAGGAAUAUUGGACAAUGGUCGCAAGUCUGAUCCAGCCAUGCCGCGUGAAGGAUUAAGGUCCUCUGGAUUGUAAACUUCUUUUAUAAGGGACGAAAAAAGGCUUUUCUAAGUCGUCUGACGGUACCUUAUGAAUAAGCACCGGCUAACUCCGUGCCAGCCGCCGCAGUAAGAC